CUACGGGAGGCUGCAGUGGGGAAUCUUCCGCAAUGGGCGCAAGCCUGACGGAGCAACGCCGCGUGAGUGAAGAAGGCCUUCGGGUCGUAAAGCUCUGUCUUUAGGGAAGAAAAACUAUGGUGAAAAUAUUGCCAUAGUCUGACGGUACCUGAGGAGGAAGCUCCGGCUAACCACGUGCCAGCAGCCGCGGUAAUACGUAGGGAGCGAGCGUUGUCCGGAAUUACUGGGCGUAAAGGGCGUGUAGGCGGGAAUUUAAGUAAGGUGUGAAAACUCCGGGAUCAACUUGGAGACUGCACUUUAAACUGGAUUUCUUGAGGGCAGGAGAGGAAAGUGGAAUUCCUAGUGUAGCGGUGAAAUGCGUAGAUAUUAGGAGGAACAUCAGUGGCGAAGGCGACUUUCUGGACUGCACCUGACGCUGAGGCGCGAAAGCAUGGGUAGCGAACAGGAUUAGAUACCCUGGUAGUC
rnacentral:rRNA from 1 species